rnacentral:rRNA from 1 species
CUGAAUAGGGCGCUUAGUCAGAUGCUGCAGACCCGAAACGAAGUGAUCUAUCCAUGAGCAAGUUGAAGCUAGUGUAAGAACUAGUGGAGGACUGAACCCAUAGGCGUUGAAAAGCCCCGGGAUGACUUGUGGAUAGGGGUGAAAGGCCAAUCAAACUUCGUGAUAGCUGGUUCUCUCCGAAAUAUAUUUAGGUAUAGCGUUGUGUCGUAAUAUAAGGGGGUAGAGCACUGAAUGGGCUAGGGCAUACACCAAUGUACCAAACCCUAUCAAACUCCGAAUACCUUAUAUGUAAUCACAGCAGUCAGGCGGCGAGUGAUAAAAUCCGUCGUCAAGAGGGAAACAACCCAGACUACCAGCUAAGGUCCCUAAAUCUUACUUAAGUGGAAAACGAUGUGAAGUUACUUAAACAACCAGGAGGUUGGCUUAGAAGCAGCCAUCCUUUAAAGAAAGCGUAAUAGCUCACUGGUCUAGUGAUUUUGCGCGGAAAAUAUAACGGGGCUAAAGUAAGUACCGAAGCUGUAGACUUGCGCACAACUUAGAUUAUUUAAGUUUAGAAUAUGAGAAACUAAGUUAUAUGUUUAGUUAUAUUUUUACUGAUUUUUAUAGAGUAAAGAUAGAAAUAAAACUUAGUAAAAUCAGUAAAAAUAUUCUUAGACUAAAGUUAAGUAGUUUAAGUUGUGUGCAAGUGGUAGGAGAGCGUUCUAUUUGCGUCGAAGGUAUACCGGUAAGGAGUGCUGGAGCGAAUAGAAGUGAGCAUGCAGGCAUGAGUAGCGAUAAUUAAUGUGAGAAUCAUUAACGCCGUAAACCCAAGGUUUCCUACGCGAUGCUCGUCAUCGUAGGGUUAGUCGGGUCCUAAGUCGAGUCCGAAAGGGGUAGACGAUGGCAAAUUGGUUAAUAUUCCAAUACCAACAUUAGUGUGCGAUGGAAGGACGCUUAGGGCUAAGGGGGCUAGCGGAUGGAAGUGCUAGUCUAAGGUCGUAGGAGGUUAUACAGGCAAAUCCGUAUAACAAUACUCCGAGAACUGAAAGGCUUUUUGAAGUCUUCGGAUGGAUAGAAGAACCCCUGAUGCCGUCGAGCCAAGAAAAGUUUCUAAGUUUAGCUAAUGUUGCCCGUACCGUAAACCGACACAGGUGGGUGGGAUGAGUAUUCUAAGGCGCGUGGAAGAACUCUCUUUAAGGAACUCUGCAAAAUAGCACCGUA